rnacentral:misc_RNA from 1 species
GGAUGAAGAACGUAGCGAAAUGCGAUAAGUAAUGUGAAUUGCAGAAUUCAGUGAAUCAUCGAAUCUUUGAACGCACAUUGCGCCCGCCAGUAUUCUGGCGGGCAUGCCUGUUCGAGCGUCAUUACAACCCUCAGGCCCCCGGGCCUGGCGUUGGGGAUCGGCGGAAGCCCCCUGCGGGCACAACGCCGUCCCCCAAAUACAGUGGCGGUCCCGCCGCAGCUUCCAUUGCGUAGUAGCUAACACCUCGCAACUGGAGAGCGGCGCGGCCACGCCGUAAAACACCCAACUUCUGAAUGUUGACCUCGAAUCAGGUAGGAAUACCCGCUGAACUUAAGCAUAUCAAUAAGCGGAGGA